GAUGAACGCUGGCGGCGUGCCUAAUACAUGCAAGUCGAGCGAACGGACGAGAAGCUUGCUUCUCUGAUGUUAGCGGCGGACGGGUGAGUAACACGUGGAUAACCUACCUAUAAGACUGGGAUAACUUCGGGAAACCGGAGCUAAUACCGGAUAAUAUUUUGAACCGCAUGGUUCAAAAGUGGAAGACGGUCUUGCUGUCACUUAUAGAUGGAUCCGCGCUGCAUUAGCUAGUUGGUAAGGUAACGGCUUACCAAGGCAACGAUGCAUAGCCGACCUGAGAGGGUGAUCGGCCACACUGGAACUGAGACACGGUCCAGACUCCUACGGGAGGCAGCAGUAGGGAAUCUUCCGCAAUGGGCGAAAGCCUGACGGUGCAACGCCGCGUGAGUGAUGAAGGUCUUCGGAUCGUAAAACUCUGUUAUUAGGGAAGAACAUAUGUGUAAGUAACUGUGCACAUCUUGACGGUACCUAAUCAGAAAGCCACGGCUAACUACGUGCCAGCAGCCGCGGUAAUACGUAGGUGGCAAGCGUUAUCCGGAAUUAUUGGGCGUAAAGCGCGCGUAGGCGGUUUUUUAAGUCUGAUGUGAAAGCCCACGGCUCAACCGUGGAGGGUCAUUGGAAACUGGAAAACUUGAGUGCAGAAGAGGAAAGUGGAAUUCCAUGUGUAGCGGUGAAAUGCGCAGAGAUAUGGAGGAACACCAGUGGCGAAGGCGACUUUCUGGUCUGUAACUGACGCUGAUGUGCGAAAGCGUGGGGAUCAAACAGGAUUAGAUACCCUGGUAGUCCACGCCGUAAACGAUGAGUGCUAAGUGUUAGGGGGUUUCCGCCCCUUAGUGCUGCAGCUAACGCAUUAAGCACUCCGCCUGGGGAGUACGACCGCAAGGUUGAAACUCAAAGGAAUUGACGGGGACCCGCACAAGCGGUGGAGCAUGUGGUUUAAUUCGAAGCAACGCGAAGAACCUUACCAAAUCUUGACAUCCUUUGACAACUCUAGAGAUAGAGCCUUCCCCUUCGGGGGACAAAGUGACAGGUGGUGCAUGGUUGUCGUCAGCUCGUGUCGUGAGAUGUUGGGUUAAGUCCCGCAACGAGCGCAACCCUUAAGCUUAGUUGCCAUCAUUAAGUUGGGCACUCUAAGUUGACUGCCGGUGACAAACCGGAGGAAGGUGGGGAUGACGUCAAAUCAUCAUGCCCCUUAUGAUUUGGGCUACACACGUGCUACAAUGGACAAUACAAAGGGCAGCGAAACCGCGAGGUCAGGCAAAUCCCAUAAAGUUGUUCUCAGUUCGGAUUGUAGUCUGCAACUCGACUACAUGAAGCUGGAAUCGCUAGUAAUCGUAGAUCAGCAUGCUACGGUGAAUACGUUCCCGGGUCU
rnacentral:rRNA from 1 species